rnacentral:tRNA from 3 species
GCCGAGGUGGCGAAACGGCAACCGCACAGCACUCAAAAUGCUGCGAGCUCAUGCUCUUGAGGGUUCAACUCCCUCCCUCGGCA